rnacentral:rRNA from 1 species
GACAGAGGAUGCAAGCGUUACUCGGAAUUACUGGGCGUAAAGCGUGCGUAGGUGGUUCGUUAAGUCUGAUGUGAAAGCCCUGGGCUCAACCUGGGAAUGGCAUUGGAUACUGGCGGGCUAGAGUGCGGUAGAGGGCAGUGGAAUUCCCGGUGUAGCAGUGAAAUGCGUAGAGAUCGGGAGGAACAUCUGUGGCGAAGGCGACUGCCUGGACCAGCACUGACACUGAGGCACGAAAGCGUGGGGAGCAAACAGG